CCCCUCCCGUGGCCAUGUUGAGGAGGUGCGGUGGUGUGAGCGGCGCCGCACCUCGGCCACUCUCGUCUCACCUGCAACUGGAGGAGGAUGUGUGCAGACAACUGGAUUGUGGCUGGACAAGGUAUCGGAUUGGAGUUCGGGAUGAAGGCAGGAUGGAGAGCUCCAUGCAUUAAAUAAUGGCCCCUGUAGUAAUAAGAUGGAGAACUCGGCAUUAAAUGAGGGCAGGGUGGAGAGCACUAUACAUUAAGAAGAUGAAGGCAGGAUGGAGAGCUCCAUGCAUUAAAUAAUGGCCCCUGUAGUAAUAAGAUGGAGAACUCGGCAUUAAAUGAGGGCAGGGUGGGGAGCUCUGCAUUAAAUGAGGGCAGGGUGGGGAGCACUAUACAUUAAGAAGAUGAAGGCAGGAUGGAGAGCUCCAUGCAUUAAAUAAUGGCCCCUGUAGUAAUAAGAUGGAGAACUCGGCAUUAAAUGAGGGCAGGGUGGGGAGCUCUGCAUUAAAUGAGGGCAGGGUGGAGAGCACUAUACAUUAAGAAGAUGAAGGCAGGAUGGAGAGCUCCAUGCAUUAAAUAAUGGCCCCUGUAGUAAUAAAACUGCCAGAAAGCGUGUUGUAAACGGUCAGACUCGGACAAAGGGUUGUGGCAGAGCAUUGGAGCAAAAUGGAUUUUUGGAAUUGUCUGCAAUUGCAUCCUGAAUCUGAACUGCCAGAAAGCGUGUUGGAAACGGUCAGACUCGGACAAAGGGUUGUGGCAGAGCAUUGGAGCAAAAUGGAUUUUUGAUUAGUGGCUGGUCUUUGGUGGGAUACAACAUUUACUGUUGGUGGUUAGCAUGGCAGUUGGUGAUGGAGGUUUUCUUCUGUACUGAUGGGCAGUGGCAAGCGGGUGUUGAUAGCCUCAUCAUUCGGAACCCAGGCGCCUGACAAAAUUGUCGUCUCAUUUUGGCUGUGUGACCAGUAUGCUUUGUGCUGAAACUAUAAUGGCAGGAGCAAUUUGUGAUGGACUGCUGCCUUUGUUACUGCAAGCAUGUUUACUUGAAAACUUGGUGUAUACCAUAAGGGAGACCUACAGGAUUUUCUAGUCUCUAAUUGGUACAUCCGUGGCAAGUCCUGCAACCCUCAAUUUUUGCACUUUCAUAAUGCCCAGAAGUAUUGCAGCCACUGCCUAUCCUUAAGCAGUGUGAGCUUGGCAUUUUUUUCUUAAACAAGAAAUAUCAAGAGUGGUCGGCAUUAAAGUGGAAAUGUGUAACAGUGUGUGGAAGGGACCUACAGACCUUCACUAACUGGCAACUUUUACAGCCAGAAAUAUGUGCCACUGUUAAAAAAUCCUGACUUGAUUAUGUGGUAGUUUUGGUUACUGGGGUGCAGAAGUUUGUUGCUAAAAAAAAAAAAUGGAAUGGAUACAACUACUUGCACUACUUGCCAGUCAUUGAAAAGUGCAAUGCUAACAUGUUAUGCAGAAUAGUUCACAUUGUCAUACUGUCAAAACAGUAGUUGGUGGCUAUGUGAUUGCCAUGUGAACUUAAUUGAGGACUGGCCAAGCAAUUCCCUGGAUAUUAAUCCAGUUGAGAAGCCUUGCAUUUUCAAGCAACUACUGCAGGGGAGGGAUAUGUUGUAAAUUCCAAAGCUGGAGGCUGCCAUCUGUGAAGAGGGAACUAAUUUGGACCCUGAGCUGGGGAAGCGGAAGCCUAUUGACAACUAACUGGUUGGAAAGACUUGGUUUUGGCCUGCAUUUGGUGCUGGGAAUGUGUUCGUUGGCAAGUUCCUUGGCUACAAUGAUGUCAUGGGUAUUUUAAUGUUAGUGAUGCAUCAUUUGUGGACACAGUUUGCCCAGAAUAGUGUUGUUUGAUGCCAUACAGCUGGGACCAUGAAGGUGCCCUGAUUGGCUGACCUUUCCAUUCAUAAAAUGGUACUGAAUGGCAGGCAUUUCAAUUCCUAAAACUAUGUGCAGUUGGUCAUUGGAUCUCCAAUAUUAAUGGUCCAUAUAUGGGAGCUUGCAUUCACUACAGAUGGAAGUAACUGGCUUUUGGCAAGGAGAACUGGGACCACUUCAUUCAGUACCCAUAAGUUAAUGGGGGCAAGCACACACAUGGCUGCUGUUUCUCAAGAUGGUUGCAACUGAAGGACUAAUAUUCCAUGUAAAUUGCGAGUUUGCCAAUUUGAAUGAUUUUUGGCAUUGUUUUGAUUGUACCAAAGUUUAUUCUCCAAAAUUGUCUACUUCAGGCCGUUUCAUAAAAUAUUGUGGCUUGGUAUUGAUCUGCUGUGGCAAAAUUUAUACAAGAAAAUUUUCUGAGGGAUGAUGUUGUUUUUUACCUGCUGGCAAGU